GUUUAAGCAUGUCAAUAUUCGCCUUAGAAAGAUUCUUGAGGCAUACAGAAUUUUAGGAGUUUUAAACAGAAAUAGAGAAGGUACUCAGUAAUUUUUUAUAUGAAAGGAAAAGCAAAAAAAAAAGGCAAUUAAGCAUAAUACAAUAUCUUCCUUAAAAAUGCAAUUUCUGGCUUUUUCUUAGAGAACCCAAAUUUAAAGUCAAAUGAUUUCUUCAUCUAAUAAAAAAAUUAAGAAAAGUCAAUUUAGCCAUGCACCCAUUCAAAAAAUAUUUACUGUACACGUUACAUGUGCCUGGCAUUGCUUUGUAUUCUGGGGAUGCGGAGGUGACUGAGACAGAUCAAGUCGUAAGAAGUUUGCUGUAGAGUCAAAAAGGCAAAUAAAAGCAUCACCUAAACUAACUGGAGUGCAAAUUCAAAAAGAGAAACGUUUUGGGAAUUGACUAGAUUUAUUCUUAAGUGUCCAGGAUGGUGACUGAUACAACCACAACCAUGGCAUACACAUCAAUGACAAGGACACAGGAACAGGAUCAAAUUUAUGACAAGAUCACAGCUGGGUUGCAAAAGUUUCUUCAAAUGAACACGCACCAAGCUAUCCAGUUAGGGCUCUGAAAACUACCAGUAAUACUCUGCCUACAAGAAAGGUAAUGUACAAAUGCACAUUUCUCUGUUAGCUAAUUAAAAGAAAGCAGGAGAGAAAUCACGAGAGAGUAAAAGAGCAAGAAAGAUAUUGAUUCUGUCUGUCCCUGAGUAAAAUGAGGCAAAUCUACCCCUCACCCCAUUAUACAACCAGACUUAACUGUGGAAAGGAUGUUAUCACCAUAAGCCAUGCUUGGAAUUUUGUCGAAUGACUUGGCACAACCAGGUAUUUGCUGAGUGUUACCUUUACUGGGACUAAUGCCUUAAAACGUUUUUGUUUGGAAAUCUGAUGCUGAUUUCCUACAAAGGGGCUGGGGGCAGCUAAGCAGUGGUGAAGUUGGAGCAUUUUGUAUUCUCUUCCCUACCUGAACCAAAUUCUCUGUCUACUUUUAAGUAAAUUUUCAAAAAGAUCCUUCUAUGUUUCCAUGUAGCCACUCUUGUGAAAUACCACCAGGUUUCUCAAAACCAACUACAAUGGUAGGGACACAAUGCGCACAGAAUGAUAUGUCCUAAAUCCUCUUAGUCUCUUCGUCUUUUUUUUCUCCCAUGGCUUUGAAGGCUUAACACUAAUUUCUCUUUAUUUUUAUGAAAAGUGCACAACAUGAAAUGUAUCCUAUUAACAAAAAUUUAAAUGUAUAGUACAUUAUUAACCACAAGCACAAUGUUAUACAGCAGAUUUCUAGAACUUUUUCACCUUGCGUAACAGAAAUUUUAUACCCACAGAAUAGCAGAUUUCCAAUUCGCCGUUGUUCCAGCCCCUGGGAACCACCAUUCUACUUUCCAUUCCUUUGAGUUUGACCACCACGGAUACCUCAUAUAAGUGGAAUCAUGCAGCAUUUAUCUUUUUGUGACUAGAUUAUUUUCACUUAGCAUAAUGUCCUCAGGCCAAUCCAUGUUGUAGCAAAUGACAAGAUUUCCUUUUUUUUUUUUUGUGGUCAAGUAAUAUUCCACUGUAUGUACACACCACGUUUUCUUUACCCAUUUGCCCAUCAAUGGACAUUUAGGUUGUCUCCAUCUCUUUGCUAUUGUGAAUGCUGCAACAUGGGAAUAUCUUUUCAAUACAGUGACUUCAAUUCUUUUGGAUAAAUAUCCAGAAGAAAGAUUAAUGGAUCAUAUGGUAGUUCUAUUUUUAAAUUUUUUUUUUUUUUUUUUUUUUUUUUGAGCUGGAGUCUCGUUCUGUCAUCUAGGCUGGAGUGCAGAGGCUUGAUCUCGCCUCACUGCAAGCUCUGCCUCCCGGGUUCACACCAUUCUCCUGCCUCAGCCUCCCAAGUAGCUGGGAUUACAGGUGCCUGCCACCACGCCCGGCUAAUUUUUUGCAUUUUUAGUAGACGGGGUUUCACCGUGUUAGCCAGAAUGGUCUCUAUCUCCUGACCUCAUGAUCUGCUCGCCUUGGCCUCCCCAAAUGCUGGGAUUACAGGCGUGAGCCACCGUCCCUGGUCUAUUUUUAAAUUUUUAAAGAACUUCAUACUGUUUUCCAUAGUGACUACACCAUUUUACAUUUCCACCAACAGUGUACAAAGGUCCCACUUUGUCUACAUCCUCAAAAAAACUUGGUAUUUUUCAGUUUUUUUUUUUUUGACAGUGGCCAUUCUGACACGUGUGAGGGGUUAUCUCAUUGUGAUUUUGAAUUGCAUUUCCCUGGUGAUUAGUGAUGUUGAGCAUCUUUUCCUUAUACAUAUUGGCCAUUUGUAUACCUUUUUUGGAGAAAUGUUUGGAUAAGUCUUUAGCCCAUUUUUAUCAGACAUAUGGUUUGCAAAUAUUUUUUCCCAUUCUGUAAGUUGUCUUUUUACUCCGUUGAUUGUUUCCUUUGCUGAGCAGAAGCUUUUUCAUUUAACAUAGUCCCCUUUGUGCAUCUGUUAUUUUUGCUUUUUUUGGGGGGGGGCGGUCUAUGCUUUUCAUGCUAUAUCCAGGAAACAACUGCCAAAAUCAAUUUUAGAGGACUUUUCCCUAUUUUUUAAAAAAGUUUUAUAGUUUCAAGUCUCACAUUUAAGUUUCUAAUCUAUUUUGAGUUGAUUUUUGUAUAUGUUCCAAGAUAAGGGUCCAAUUUCAUUCUUUUGUGUGUGGAUAGCCAGUUCUCCUAGCACUAUCUGUUGGAGAGACUAUCCUUUCCACAUUGUACAGUCUUGGCACCCUUGUCAAAGAACAUUUGCCUGUAUAUGCUUGGGUUUAUUUCUGGGUUCUCUAUUCUGUUCUAUUGGCCUAUAAUGUCUGUCUUUAUGCCAGUACCAUACUGUUUUGAUUACUGCAGCUUGGCAAUUUGUUUUGAAUUCAGAAAGUGUGAGUUCCCUAGAUUUGUUCUUUCUCAUGGUGGUUUUGGCUACUCAGGGUCUUCUGUGGUUCCAUACAAAUUUUAGGAUUGUUUUUUCCUAUUUCUGCAAAGCAGCCACUGGGAUUUUAAGAGGAACUGCACUGAAUCUGUAUGUUGCUUUGGGGGAAUACAGACAUUCAAUAAUAUUAAUUCUUUCAAUCCAUAAACAUGAGAUGUCUUUACAGUUAUUUGUGUCUUCCUAAAUUUUUUUAAGCAAUGUUUUAUAGUUUUCAAAACUAGUCUGUACUAGUCUUUUACCCUCUUCAGUUUAUUCCUAAGUAUUUCAUUUUUUUGGAUGUUACUUUAAAUGAAAUUGUUUUCUUAAUUUCCCUUCCAGGUAGUUAAUAUUUUUGUGUUAUAAGAACACAACGAAUUUUUGUUUGUUGAUUUGGAAUCCUGUAAGUUUGCUGAAUGUUUUUCAUAGUUCUUCACAGUUUGCUUUUUUGGGGGAAUCCUUAGGGUUUUCUACAUAUAAGAUCAUAUCUGUGAACACAGAUAAUCUUACUAUUUCAUUUCCAACUUUGAUGCCUUUUAUUUCUCUCUCUUGAUUAAUGUCUCUAUGACUUUCAGCACUAUGUUGAAUAAAGUAGCAUGAAUGAGCAUCCUUGUCUUGUUGCUGAUCUUAGUGGAAAUGCUUUUGGUUUUUCAACCUUGAUUAUAAUAUUAGCUUUGAACUUUUAGCAUAUGGUCUUUAUUUCUUUCUAUUCCUUCUAAAGAAUAUUUCCUUCUUUAGGUAAUUUCCUUCUAUUCCCAGUUUGAUGAGUUUUUAUCAGAAAACAGUGUUGAGUUUUUUCAAAUGCUUUUUCUGCAUCUAUCAAAAUAUUUUUAUCAUUUGUUCUUUUAAUGUAAUAUAUCAUAUUGAUAAAUAUUCAUAUGUUGAACCUUCCUUGCAUUUGAGAGAUAAUUGACACUUGGUGAUGGUAUAUGAUCCUUUUAAUGUGCUAUUAAAUUAUGUUUACUGGGCCAGGUGCAGUGGCUCAUGCCUGUAAUCCCAGCACUUUGG
rnacentral:lncRNA from 1 species